AUCCCUAUAACGCAAUGAUAGCGUGCUGGAUUUCUAAUCCAAAGGUCGUGCUUUCAAAUCCCAUCUGGGAUG